GUGGGCGCAUGCUUUUUGUGAGUAACAGCCAAUAAUGACCAGUGGUAGGCAAUGAAAACGUUUUCAAAAAAUAAAAAAAUAAAAGCAAUAAUGUAAUAAAUAAGAGAUGCACUCACAGUGGAAGAGCUUGUAUGAAUAAGCUCAAUGUAUCAGCAACUAUAUAUUUUUUUUGUGUUCACCUACUACUGCUCUGUCAUGCACCCAAGCCCUAUCUAACAGUCUUAGCAACAUCCAGAGGCCAGUGGUGUAUUUUGGAUUUGUGCUGCCCUAGGCAUGACUAAAUUCGGGCACCCCCAAAAUCUAAAUUUGAUCCCCCAAUUCGUGUCAAGGACACUUUUUUGACUGACAGACACAUGCCUUCAUUGAUACAUGCACUGAUAUACACUCACUGACAGAUACACAGUAAUUGGCACACACUGUUUAACCAACACACACUUUCACUGACACGCAUACACUCUCAGAUACACAUAAAAUGACAUACACACACUCACAGGCACACCCAUUCUCACUGAAAGACACAAUUUCACUCACAGCCCCAGAACACAAGGCAAGCAAGGCAUUUGUCUGGGAGCUUGGGGUAGCAUUUUUUGGCGCCCCCCUGAAAGUGCCACCCUAGGCAAAUGCCUUGUGGUAAAUACAUCCCUGCCAGAGACAAGUAAAUAAGCCCUUGGUGGAUCUUUUCUUUUUUAUGCAAGUUAGUCUAGCACAUUAUAUAGUACAAAUAAGCACUCACCAUGUCUAGUAUUUCUUUUGUGCUCUAUCAUCGAAAUACCACGUCACAUACCAAAACCCAAUGUUUAUGCCUUUAUUCAGCUUGUUUUUCUCUUCCUAUUGUGGCGUUGCAAGCUUCAUUGUACACUCAUGCACCCAAAAAUAAAG